GACGAACGCUGGCGGCGUGCUUAACACAUGCCAGUCGAACGGAAAGGCCCUGCUUUUGUGGGGUGCUCGAGUGGCGAACGGGUGAGUAACACGUGAGUAACCUGCCCUUGACUUUGGGAUAACUUCAGGAAACUGGGGCUAAUCCCGGAUAGGAGCUCCUGCUGCAUGGUGGGGGUUGGAAAGUUUCGGCGGUUGGGGAUGGACUCGCGGCUUAUCAGCUUGUUGGUGGGGUAGUGGCUUACCAUGGCCUGGCCGGGUAGCCGGCCUGCGAGGGUGACCGGCCACAUUGGGCCUGAGAUGCGGCACAGACUCCUACGGGAGGCAGCAGUGGGGAAUAGUGCACAAUGGGCGGAAGCCUGAUGCAGCAACGCCGCGUGCGGGAUGACGGCCAUCGGGUUGUAAACCGCUUUCGCCUGUGACGAAGCGUGAGUGACGGUAAUGGGUAAAGAAGCACCGGCUAACUACGUG
rnacentral:rRNA from 1 species